GAAAUUUUUAAAGGUAUUAUAUGAUUUGACUGUCAAGUUUUCUUACUGUACACUUGUUACUUCACAUGAGUUCUUGUUUAAUGUAAGUGUCAUUCAUAGAACAAUGAACACAUUGGUAAAAAGUUCAGAUCCAUUUCUCUCUGGUAUGGGCACUAAAAUGAUAGAAAAGUUCAAUAAGUAUUGGGGGAGAAUAUGAGAAAAUGAACACUCUCAUGUUCAUUGUUGUUUUUCUUGAUCCACGUGAGAAAAUGAAAGGUUUAAAUUUUAUUCUUGAUACUUUAGAUAUCACGGGUCCGUCAUUACAUAAGCACUUAUCGACUUACGUGAGAAAUGAUUUUCAAGAACUUUUCGAAGAGUACAAGUGUCUCUAUGCAAAUGAUGAAAACAUGUAUAGUUCCACAAGUGAUUGUGAUAAUGUUACUCAAUCUUCAGGGGUUACUGAUGAUGAAGAUUUCGUGUAUGCUAGUCUUAUAGCAUAGAGAGCAAGAGAAGAUGAGGAGGAUGACAAUGUUGAGGGGAAAACUGAGUUGGAGUUAUAUUUAGAGGAGAAACGUGAACCGAGAAUUAGCCCUACCGGUGUUCAGUUUGAAAUUUUAGGUUGGUGGAGGACUAAUAGUACAAGGUACCUGUAUUAUCACACAUGGCGAGAGAUAUACUAGCCAUACCAGUCUCUUCUGUUGCCUCGGAAUCUUCCUUUAGUACUGGAAGGCGAGUUAUUGAUCCAUAUCGAAGUUCACUGCUGCCUAAUACAGUUGAGGCGUUGAUUUGCACGCAAAGAUGGUUACGGACACCGGUUGAUCUUGAUCCAAACACCUUAGGAACCGAUAAUGCCGAAGAUGUUUCAGAAUUUUUAGGUUCUCUUGCAACUUCUAAGUUCAUCCGCAUUGACAUAGAUGAUAUAGAAGAAGAAGAUUCAACUUUGUUAUCGUAAAUUUGAUUAUAAAUGAUUUAAUGGGUUAGCGGAGUUCACGUGGAAGGAGGAGAGGUAUCUUGGGAGCCAGCAACUGCACCAGUUGAUCUCGUCAUGCCUGAGGUGGUGGCUGGGAAUGAGGGGAGCAUUAAGCUCUUAUAUUUUUGUUGUCUUUUAUUCUCUUUUGAGCUAGUUUUGUUUCAAUUAGUAUUUAGUCAAAAGAUGUUUGGGGUUUUUCUUAGCUCGAUACUACGAACCUCUAUUAUUCUCAUAGCAGAAUGAAUCUUUUCACACUGAUUAAUUGUAGUUAAUGAAUGGUUAGGACUCAUAGGAGGAUUACUCGAGUUAAA